GCCAUACUUAAUUCUUGAAACAAAGAGCUCCUUAAACCGUCCUAAAGUUAGCACUAGUACUUCGGCUAAUGAGUGAAUACCAAGGAUUUUCGUUUUCGGGCAUUUGUCUCCAAUCAAACUUCUACUCUAUUUGUCAAGUGCUCCAGAAACAUAAGCAAGGCUCAUAACUACACCACAGCUUCAUGUUUUAGCAAAAACGGGACUCACAUCUGUGCUAUUUAUGAUGGUGAAUACUUAGUUGACAGUCUUCGAACAUCAUGCAAGCCUGUUGCUGAGGUUCCUUCAGAUUAUCGUCCAUACAUUACUAAGCCUCCUUUUUAUGAAGCCAUCAUACAAGUUUGCAGGCAGGGUUUGAUCUUGGAUGGUCCCUUAAGUGUCGUCACUGCUACUUAUCUGGAAAUACUUCCUCACAAGUUCAUGGGAUAAGCCAAUCACAAAUGUAUGCGAAAAAGAGUACAAAGAAGUGAAAUCACUCCAGAAGUCCAGAUGAUCUUAAUUUUUGUAGGAGUGGCAUCGGGAGCUCUAACUGCUCUAGUACAUAUAGUGGCAAUGUGGCAUAAUUGGUGUUCAGUAUCUGCAAAUAUAACAAAUGAAUUAAAGCUGCCGGAGAAGAAUCUGCAGAAUCCGCAAUCAUCAAUUCUUGAACUAACUUAUUCCAUUUACAGUCAAUAUG